rnacentral:lncRNA from 7 species
AUGAAUAGUGUGCUGCCAGCACCUUCAUUACUUAUUCAUCAGCAGAAAAGCCACCAGACUCUGAGGUCUGAGGUUAAUCAGCAUUGCCCUGAGCUUUUGUGUCUGUGUGCUCGAUGCCAGGUUAAAGAACAUCAAUUAUGAGUGCUAGUCCCUGCACAGCAGACUGCUCCAGAGGAUGGCCUUUAGCAGAAAACCUCAGCAUCAGGCCUCAGCUGCUGAAGAAGGCAGGCCCGGGCCCCACAGUGUGCCAGUCGCUCUUAGCAGCCCCUAUUAUCCUCCCUUAGGAAGGAGCAGAUCUGGAGGGAGCCUCAAUUGUAUAACACUGGUAUUAGCAGGGGGGAUCAGAAAUGCCCUAAUUCCUAAAGUAAUUUGGGGUUGUGUAACGCAGUGAAUGAGCUUUGCUUUAGCACAUGCUCUGGAGCAGGAAGGAGGCACUUGAGGGAAAGAAAUGAAACACACUGCAACUUGGAUGGAGCCGUGGAUUAAAUGGGAUUUUAAAACAAUACAAGCAUUAUCUGUAGCAGCGGCAGAGCGUACCAGAAUGUACCGCCUCUCUAUCUCUGCAGGAAAAGUCAACAAAGCAAAAAUCAGUGGUGAAGGAACAGGACAGCAGAAAGCUUCAUAGGGCUGAGAACAUGGUGCUCAGAGAUUACAAAGCCUGCAAACUCCUUCUUUAUAAGGUUGAUCCUUUCAGCGUUGCUUGCACUAAGUGCCAUAUCCCCAGUGGCUCCCCCACAGAAUGGAUGUAUUCACCAUCUCACCAAGUGGAGCUUCUUCCUUUAUGCCCCAAUCACUGUAGGAAGCAAGAAAGACUCAAGGAGUCAGAAUGAGGAGAGCAAGGGCAAUAGCACCAAGAAAAGCUUAAAAACAGGAUUUUUUUUUCCAAUACGAAUUAAGAACAUCUAGCACAGUGCCCUUCAAAAGUUUUAUAAGUCAAACAAACUUACAAUAGAAAAAAAAUAUUGUGUGCCAGAAGCUAUUCUAGGAGCAUAUUAUAUGAGACACAGAGGAUCCUUCUGAGCAAGAUUCAGACCCUGCUUUGAGUCACUUUUUGGAAAUCCCUUCUUCUCCAUUGGCUGUACAAAGGGGGUAUGAGAGGUCUGCUCCUAGUGUAGGCUUCUGCUUAGGGAUCAAGCCUAGAGAUACUCCAUUCAAAAAAUCCUGAAAAGUCGGUGUCAGUGAUACUGAAAGAAAGAGAAAAGGGAAAGGAGGAGCAAUCCGUGACUUCAGUUUGCUUCCAAAGCGAGGCAGUGAGGAUGGUGCAGAAGAACAAAGGUGGUGCUGAGGAAUUAACAACCUCAAUUACAGCAGAGGAGGGAGGAGAAGAGGAGAAGUAGAGAACAAGGAAGAACAAACAAGAGUCCAGACUUCAUCCUGUCAUGUUCCAGUUUUUGGCAGGGAAAAGAAAUCAUGGAGAUUUCUAAGUGACUUAGGAUCCCAAGGCUUGUAAUUCAAAGAGACAGAUUUUUAAAACCAGCUAGACAGUUAAUUAUUCAGAUACAGUCAUUGGGGAACUUUGUUUUUUAAAACAUAGAGCAGCCAGCAGAAUAUAAUUAUUGAAAUCAAUAGGAGUUUGUUCUGAGAAUAAUGCAUUGUUUAGAAGUCAGCUGGAGCCUGGAUGUUCAUAGAGUUCUGUCAUUGUCCUAGUUCUGACUGAUCGGCACAAUAUAGCAACCAGCUCUGCUGACUUGUGCCCUACCAUUUUCAAGGUGCUAUUGUCAGACCAAGGCAUAACAUUUACCUAUAUGCCAUCAGUUGAUUAUUCCAGAGAAACAACCUAAAUGGAAAAUAAUGGAAGAGCUAUGAUUCUAUAAUUCUAACUGUUCUGUCAGAAUUGAUAUCAGCUAGGCACUGAGAUACUCUUUUGGGAGGUCAAAGUGAAUUAAAUGCCAGUGGAGAGACCUGAACCUAAGUCUUUCUGAGUUAUUAGGUAAUUUAACACUGAUAUUGACUGAAACUAAAAAGUCAGUCAUUCUAACCUUAUAAGAUUUCUUUGUCUUGUUGUUGUUGUUGUUUCUGAGUAUGUAAAGCUUUAAAUAUCUAGGCCUGUCUUCAGUGAAAAGACACUGACAGAGCACAGCUCAAAUCUUGCGUGAGCCAAAUCACCCUCCGGAGAUACGUGCCUUCUUUGACAAGGAGAGAAGCUAUGGUGAAUAGGCGCCUAACUUAAGUAGUAUGAAACCAGCCUUUCCAGUCUGGAGCUUCUGUGCUGUUGCAUGCUUUUGACAAACUCUUCUUAAUGGUUACCUUUGGCUCAAGUGAUCUGUGUUUACGUUUCUGCGUUGCUUUCUAUACACAGUAUGUACGCAUGUGUAUACAAAAUACAAAUGUACUGUUG